AAUGUUUACUGUUCUAUUAUUUUGUUUUUUAAAGGUUUCUGUUAUGUCAAUGGUUUUGGGGUUAACAUUGUGGUGAAGUGUUGCUGGGGUUGAGGACCUGCUAACAAGAAUUCAUAUCAAUUUAAUAAUAAAGUGAUUACUAUGGUAGUGCUCUGGGUAGUGUUUCCCAAAAGCAUGGCAAGCCUAAGUUGAUCCUAGCUAUAUUGGUGGCAAUGGCUCUACAAUCAACUUGGGCUUAUCACACAAUGAAUUUUAUGUAAAUCACAGGAAUAAACAAGAAGCAUUAAUUGUAGGAUUAUUUGCAUAAAUCAAUUUAAAUUCAAAUCUAAUUGAAACAACAUGAUAGAUAUUCAUUAAACUACCAAAACCAUAAAUGAAUAAGACAUUAACUAGUUGAUGUUGUAACAGUUCUGAAAAGCUGUUUCAUGUUGUAUGGUGUAAUGCUUCUCCCCACCUCAAGGGGGAUCUAGGGAGGUUUCUGAAGGAAAGGCUAUCCUUUUAAGAGAGACGAGUAAGACUGUUUAGAGAGGUACUGGCAUGGCUUUGAGUGUUUGCUCAACUUGGUGAUGCAUGAGACCCUAUUAUGAGGAACCUCUGUGGUUCUACAGCUCAGUAGGGUUGUCUUUCGGCCUCAUUCAUCAAACAAGGACACUUCAUCUGGACUAUGUGAUCUUUUCUACACUUUUGAUUAUUUGGACUGACGUUUGGUAAUGGUUUGGGACACUGUAUAUUGAACUUUUGUAGAUUUCCUGUGAACUAUCGGAAUGUGGUAAGAUACUCACUUCUUACCUGACUAUGUGGGAAUUCUGAGAAAUGGACUUUAUUCCUGAUUGAACUCAACAUGUGGUUGGGCUGAAAUGCUCUAACAAGAUGUGAAUUUUCUUGUCUUUGAAUGUAAUGUUUUGUUGAUAUUGUUGCUGUUUGGGGGUGUCUACUCUUUAAACCUUUAAAUAUAUUCUUCUCUGCUCUUGGAUGAA